GAACGCUAGCUACAGGCUUAACACAUGCAAGUCGGAGGGAACGAUAGAGAAAGCUUGUCUUUUUCGUAGGCGUCGGACCGGCGCGACGGGUGAGUAACGCGUAUCCAACCUGCCCAUCACUUGGGAUAACCUUGCGAAAGUAAGACUAAUACCCAAUGACGUCUCUAGAAGACAUCUGAAAGAGAUUAAAGAUUUAUUGGUAAACGAUGGGGAUGCGUUCCAUUAGGUAGUAGGCGGGGUAACGGCCCACCUAGCCUGCGAUGGAUAGGGGUUCUGAGAGGAAGGUCCCCCACAUUGGAACUGAGACACGGUCCAAACUCCUACGGGAGGCAGCAGUGAGGAAUAUUGGUCAAUGGGCGAGAGCCUGAACCAGCCAAGUAGCGUGAAGGAUGAAGGUCCUACGGAUUGUAAACUUCUUUUAUACGGGAAUAAAGUUUCCUACGUGUAGGAUUUUGUAUGUACCGUAUGAAUAAGCAUCGGCUAACUCCGUG
rnacentral:rRNA from 1 species